CGUGAGUAACCUGCCUUGGAGUGGGGAAUAACAGCUGGAAACAGCUGCUAAUACCGCAUAAUGCAGUUGGGUCGCAUGGCUCUGACUGCCAAAGAUUUAUCGCUCUGAGAUGGACUCGCGUCUGAUUAGCUAGUUGGCGGGGCAACGGCCCACCAAGGCGACGAUCAGUAGCCGGACUGAGAGGUUGGCCGGCCACAUUGGGACUGAGACACGGCCCAGACUCCUACGGGAGGCAGCAG
rnacentral:rRNA from 1 species